UCCCUGCAUCGUCCACUGAACGGAACGCAGCUAUUUCCGCCUCCAUCACAACCUCAGAUCGGAUUGCGGAGUGAAAAAGUGAACAGCAGCCCGCGAGACUGUUUUUUUGUCGUCCGCCGAAAAGUGUGUUGGUGGCCUCGCUACGAAAAAUCCUGAGUGAUACGGCCGGAAGACGAGACGCCCAAGAAGAUCUACGCAACACCGUCAACGCCGUAGAAAAUCCGUCACUUCUAGAAAUUCACGACCGCUAGAGGAGUAAGGCUAUUGCAUCGGGUCCAUCGGGUUCAUUCCGCUGGGCAAUAAGCCGACGAAACGACAGCGGCGGCGGCAUCCAGCUGACACGUCACGUGGGGAAACAUCCAAGCAGAAACCGAGGCAGCUCUUGGUUGACUGACAAAUUGAACGGCCAUUUCGCGCGUCAGUAUUCCUUGUUUGAGUGGACAGACACAGUUCCGAGUUUGCACAGAAUCAUCCCCAAUUGUGCGGAAAUUGGCACGAUACAGUACCAUCUCCAAUUGUGCGGUGCCCGUCUCAACCGUUCAGCGACCAGAGCAGCAUUUCCAUCAGUCGAUUCUCCACAGUACAACUCCCUUAGCGUGGCGGGCUCCACCCCAUUACCCCGAAUGCCAUUACCCCGAACGCCACUACCCCGAAUGCCAUUACCCCGAAUAGGCCACUACCCCGAAAGCCAUUACCCCGAAUGGGUCAUUACCCCGAAAGCCAUUUCCCCGAAAGCCAUCACCCCGAAAGCCACUACCCCGAAAGGGCCAUUACCCCGAAUCGUUCAGGAGAUCACCAAAAAAGUGGUGACCGAUUAGAAGUUGAUAAAGGUGGUUGAAGAGGUCUCCAGUUAGCCUAGUGGUUAAGGCUAUGGAUCACCAAUCCGGAGACGGCGGGUUCGAUUCCCGUUCCGGUCGGGGAAAUUUUCUCGACUCCCUGGGCAUAGUGUAUCAUUGUACUUGCCUCACAAUAUACAAAUUCAUGCAAUGGCAGGCAAAGAAAGCCCUUCAAUUAAUAACUGUGGAAGUGCUCAAAGACCACUAAGUAGAAGCGAGGCAGGCCAAGUCCCAGUGGGGACGUAGAGCCAUAAAAAGAAGAAGAAAGGUGGUUAUAAGUUAGAAAAGGGUAAUCAGUAACUAGUGUAGGUAUGAAUACUCUUCUCCAUCCUAUGUUCCUAUGUUAAUUCUAUUCUUAAACAGACGAUUUAGGUAUCGAUUUUUUCCGUUUUCUUUUUGUAACGAGUAAAAAAAAUAUAAAAAUAAAACACAAAUCAAAUAGCUCUUAUUUACUUCGUUGUAGAUAGCAUGACAAUGGGAGCACAUUGUUUAAGAUAGGUUCCGUUUCCCUUAGGUUUCCGUAUGUUGUGCUUCAUGCAAAAGUAAGGUUCGUGAAAACGAAAGCAGCAAACGCAAUGAAAUUAAGAAGACAAGUAAAGACAAAUUUUCAAUAUUUUAAACUAGCUGCUCUUUUGAACGUAUAGCUAUGGCUAUAAAAACUACAAGUAUUUGAAACUGACAUUUUCCCUUCUUUUAAAAGUUGGUUGGCCUCAAGCACGAUUGUAAACUGGUGGCAAACGAUUGUGCUGGUUAUCAAACUACACUUCUUCCAAUAUUUGCCUUCUUUUAAAAAUAGGCUGUUCUUUUGAGUUUGUAGUUUCCAACCGUGAACUAUUGCAGAGUUGUUUGGUAGCCAAACUGUUAGUUUCUUUAUACAAAUGUUUCCUUUUUUUCAUCAGAUGCUGCUCUUUCGAGUUUGAGUGUUACCAGCGGUGUCAUGGUCGCGAUUUUUUCCGCAGUCAAGUUCGCAGAUUGUGAGCAAUCCUCGGUACCCACUUUACGUAAUUUAUGUUUAGUACCUUACUGUCAGAGCUGUCAGAUCGGUGUAACACGCUAAAUAUAAUUCACACAAAAGGCAAUUUACACGGAAAAAUUACACGGUAAUGAAUAUUUAUUGGGUACCGGACUGGACACAGAAAAUUUAAUGGUUUUCUUUGGUACAUCGAGGUCUUGAAAUUAGUCUAUGGUGUUACGUAGUUUAUUUGCAGACGAAUAACUAACUCCAUAGCGGAUUUGUUCUUCUUUGAAUAAUAGGCUGUUCUUUCAAGUAAAAUUUUUCAGAAUUGACUUGCGGCCAAACUGGCAACUAGAUUUCUUUUGAUUUUCUUUUGAGUUUCCAGAACAUCAAGCCCUAAAAUUGUAAUUUUUUUUCAAGAUUGUAGUACUGGACUGGAUUUUAGAUAUUCAGUUCAGUUCACUUAGCAAGGUAGAUCCAGCAUUGUUGGACCAAAUUAACUAUUUUUUUUUUCUGGCGACUAAACUGUAACUUUUCUUUUCAUGAAAGGCUGUUCUUCUAGCUGCACUUAUAUAGUUUACUGGGAGUGAAAGCUGCUUACUGUGUAUGAGAUUUGCCCUUCUUUAAUUUAUAGGCUGUUCUUUCUAGUUACGUCG